rnacentral:rRNA from 1 species
ACGGGGGGCUACGGGAGGCAGCAGUAGGGAAUUUUCCGCAAUGGGCGCAAGCCUGACAGAGCAACGCCGCGUGAGGGACGAAGGUCUUCGGAUCGUAAACCUUUGUCAAUGAGGACGAUAAUGACGGUACUCGAUGAGGAAGCCCCGGCUAACUACGUGCCAGCAGCCGCGGUAAUA